CAAAAAGACUUUUUAAUAAACUAAUCCUCUAGAAUUUUAAAAUUUACGAAAUAAUUCUUCCAAGAUUAUAUUUGUAAAACUAACUCUCCUUUCACCACGUAAGAAUAGAGGUGGAUUUUUUCUAUAUAGACGGCGAAUCGUUUACCGCCUUCAGUAAGACUGUAAACGAUUCAUCGUCUUACUAAUAUAAUUAGCAAAGAUGGUGAAUAGUUUAUUAUCUUUUUCUUAUUUAAUAUUUUUUCGAUAUCCCAUAUAUAAUCUUAACAAUCACAUAAAAAUUACAAUAAAUUACGUAUAAUCUUAACAAUCUAAAAAUCCUAGUAAUCUAUCCAUAUAGUUUUAAUAUAAAAAUUACAACAAAUCACAUAUAAUCUUAACAACUUGAAAAUUCUAAUAAUCUAUCCAUACAAUUCUAACAAUCAAAUAAAAAUUUCAAUAAUCUACCAUACUAAAAACCUCACUUUUUCCUAUUUUUCAUCUAAUAACCUUUUUUUUUUCUAUUUUUCAUAAUCCACAUAAUCUUAACAACCUCACUUUUUUCUAUUUUUCAUCUAACAAUCUCACUUUUUCCUAUUUUUCAACUAAUAACCUUAUUUUUUUUCUAUUUUUCAUAAUCCACAUAAUCUUCAUAACCUCACUUUUUUCUAUUCUUCAUCUAACAACCUCAGUUUUUUCUAUUUUUUUAUAUAAUCCACAUAGAGAAAAAAAUUUCAUCUAAUAACCUUAUUUUUUUUCUAUUUUCCAUAAUCCACAUAAUCUUAACAACCUCACUUUUUUCUAUUCUUCAUCUAACCACCUCACUUUUUUCUAUUUUUUUAUAUAAUCCACGUACAGAAAAAUAUGAGUACGUACAGAAAAAUAUGAGUUUGUUAGAUGAAAAAUAAAAAAAGUGAGCUUUUUAGGAUUAUACGUGGAUUAUUAGAAUUUUUAUUUGAUUGUUAGGAUUAUAUAGAUAGAUUAUUAGAAUUUUUAGGUUGCUGAAAUUAUAUUAGUUUUGUUAUAAUUUUUAUGCGGUUGUUAAGAUUAUAUAUGGGAUAUAGAAAAUAAUAUUAAAUAAGCAAAAUACGAUGAACCAUUUAUCGUCUUUACUAAUUAUACAUUAGUAAGAUUUCAUAAAAAAAAAAUUUCUCAACGCGGCGAAAAGAGGAUUAGCUUUACAAAUAU
rnacentral:lncRNA from 1 species